GGAGAUGGCCAUAGCUCAGUGUUAGAGCAUUGGCUUUGCAGGCAGAAAAACUCAGCAUCGAUUCCUGGCAUCUCCA